rnacentral:rRNA from 1 species
AUUGAACGCUGGCGGCAUGCCUUACACAUGCAAGUCGAACGGUAACGCGGGGCAACCUGGCGACGAGUGGCGAACGGGUGAGUAAAGCAUCGGAACGUGCCCAGUAGUGGGGGAUAGCCAGGCGAAAGCCGGAUUAAUACCGCAUACGACCUAUGGGUGAAAGCGGGGGACCGAAAGGCCUCGCGCUAUUGGAGCGGCCGAUGUCAGAUUAGGGAGUUGGUGGGGUAAGGGCCUACCAAGCCGACGAUCUGUAGCUGGUCUGAGAGGACGGCCAGCCACACGGGGACUGGUGCGCGGCCCAGAGGCCUACGGGAGGCAGCAGUGGGGAAUUUUGGACAAUGGGGGCAACCCUGAUCCAGCCAUGCCGCGUGCGGGAAGAAGGCCUUCGGGUUGUAAACCGCUUUUAUCGGGGAAGAAAGGCUCUGGGUUAAUACCCUGGGGUGAUGACGGUACCCGAAGAAUAAGCACCGGCUAACUACGUGCCAGCAGCCGCCGUAAGAC